rnacentral:rRNA from 1 species
CCUACGGGAGGCAGCAGUGAGGAAUAUUGGUCAAUGGGCUAAGGCCUGAACCAGCCAAGUCGCGUGAGGGAAGACGGUCCUAUGGAUUGUAAACCUCUUUUGUCGGGGAGCAACGAGGCCACGUGUGGCCGAAGUGAGAGUACCCGAAGAAAAAGCAUCGGCUAACUCCGUGCCAGCAGCCGCGGUAAUACGGAGGAUGCGAGCGUUAUCCGGAUUUAUUGGGUUUAAAGGGUGCGUAGGCGGAACAUUAAGUCAGCGGUAAAAUCGAGGGGCUCAACCCCUUUAAGCCGUUGAAACUGGUGAUCUUGAGUGGGCGAGAAGUAUGCGGAAUGCGUGGUGUAGCGGUGAAAUGCAUAGAUAUCACGCAGAACUCCGAUUGCGAAGGCAGCAUACCGGCGCCCGACUGACGCUGAGGCACGAAAGCGUGGGGAUCGAACAGGAUUAGAUACCCUUGUAGUC